UUCCACUAAUACUCAUCGUACUUUUCUAAUCAAAUGUUCACAUCAAUAUUUAACCCAAGAGGAAAAAUCGAUAUAAUGUUUAAACAGUCAUUCAAAUAAGAAAUUAUCGAGUUUCCCCAAUAAUAAUCAAUCGAUAAGCGACCUAUCAGGAUUCGAUCCGCACAUAUCGAUACCAAUCAUUCGAUCUACGUCCACUUGAUGCGGACAUUUAGCGAUUCUACGUCAUAGAUGACGUCAUAGUGGAAAUAUUUAUCGAGUAGAACAAUUUUUUAUUCAGAUUUGAAUAUUUUUGCUCCCCCUGAUUUCGACAAAAUAUAUUUUUUGAAUAGUUGUUGAAAUUUGAGAUCUAAAAAUCGACAAGAUAAAAGUCGGUGUUGAGGAAACAUUUGCUAGGUUGCCGAAUCGUUUUCGUGAAGCUCUUUUUUGUCGUUUUUAGAUGCGUGUGCGCCCUUUUAACCGUGUUAUCGGAUCGGCUGGCGUUCAAUAACUCGUCCGAAAAAGCUGACUGGCCUUCUGCUCUCUGUUAGUAUCGCGAAAUGCUUCUAUUGUGAAGUGACAUGCUACUAGCGUGCUGUACUUGAAGGUUCAAGUAGCAGCCCUCAAUAACUUGCCAUGCAGCAUCAAGUAGGCCUACUCAUUCCCUUCAACUCAGGUUCUUGGCUGAGAGUGAAUAGACGUCUGAAUUUCCUCACAGGUGAAAAAAGAUAAUGACUAUUGAGAGAUGCAUCAUCAUUCUAUAUGAUAGACUCAAGAGGAUGAGAGUUGAACAUCAAAGUACAUAACAAAACUUGAGAAACCUGAGAACACGAUGACUACCCUCAAAAUUCCAAAAUGUUUCUUUCCAAGAAUUUGGAUUGAAAAAAUCCAAGAAAUGGUUUACAAUGAACAUCUGAAGAAAUGGAAAAGGCAUGAGAAACGUCCAGAUGUAAAUGUAAGUUGCAGAAUAAGGAUGAAAUCACCUGUAAUUAAAAUAACCAACGUUACUUCUGGAAAACCCAACAGAGAAGUACAAGUAAGUCAGUCAUUUAAUAAAAAUUCUAUUGGAUAAAAAAGUUGUUAUUGUCUGAAAAUGAUUGAUUAUUUUUUUAUUUAAUCUUUGAAUAACGACAAUACAUUUACCCCUAGGCUAUAAGUUUG